rnacentral:rRNA from 1 species
UGCCAGCCGCCGCGGUAAUACGGAGGGUGCAAGCGCUGUUCGGAAUUAUUGGGCGUAAAGCGCACGUAGGCGGUCCAUUAAGUCUGAAGUGAAAUCCUUCGGCUCAACCGGAGAACUGCUUCGGAUACUGAUGGACUUGAGGAUGGUUGGGGUGAGUGGAACUCCUGGUGGAGCGGUGAAAUGCGUAGAUAUCAGGAGGAACACCAGUGGCGAAAGCGGCUCACUGGACCAUAUCUGACGCUGAGGUGCGAAAGCUAGGGUAGCGAACGGGAUUAGAUA